rnacentral:ncRNA from 2 species
GGUCAUGAGCGUCAGCGAUAAGCCCUGGCUUGCUGACCGGCAACCCUCCCACCGCGGUGGGGUGCCCCAGGUGACGACCCGACCGAUGAUGUCUCGGUAAGCGCGAGGC